rnacentral:rRNA from 1 species
GAUGAACGCUGGCGGCGUGCUUAACACAUGCAAGUCGAACGGAAAGGCCCAAGCUUGCUUGGGUACUCGAGUGGCGAACGGGUGAGUAACACGUGGGUGAUCUGCCCUGCACUUCGGGAUAAGCCUGGGAAACUGGGUCUAAUACCGGAUAGGACCACAUUUUGGAUGGUGUGGUGGGAAGUUUUUCGGUGUGGGAUGAGCUCGCGGCCUAUCAGCUUGUUGGUGGGGUAAUGGCCUACCAAGGCGUCGACGGGUAGCCGGCCUGAGAGGGUGUACGGCCACAUUGGGACUGAGAUACGGCCCAGACUCCUACGGGAGGCAGCAGUGGGGAAUAUUGCACAAUGGGCGCAAGCCUGAUGCAGCGAAGCCGCGUGGGGGAUGACGGCCUUCGGGUUGUAAACUCCUUUCGCUAGGGACGAAGCGUUAUGUGACGGUACCUGGAGAAGAAGCACCGGCUAACUACGUG